GACGAACGCUGGCGGCGUGCCUAAUACAUGCAAGUAGGACGCAGUUGCGAACGUGUUAGUAACGCGUCGGUAACUGCCUAUUAGAGGGGGCUAACUAUUGGAAACGAUAGCUAAUACCGCAUACUAGUAGAUGGACCUGCGUUGUAUUAGCUAGUAGGUAGGGUAAUGGCCUACCUAGGCGACGAUACAUAGCCGACCUGAGAGGUUGAUCGGCCACACUGGGACUGAGACACGGCCCAGACUCCGACGGGAGGCAGCAGUAGGGAAACUUCGGCAAUGGGGGGAACCCUGACCGAGCAACGCGGCGUGAGUGAAGAAGGUUUUCGGAUCGUAAAGCUCUGUUGUUCAGGAAGCGGUACUUAAACAGAAAGGGACGGCUAACUACGUGCCAGCAGCCGCGGUAAUUC
rnacentral:rRNA from 1 species